rnacentral:rRNA from 1 species
GACGAACGCUGGCGGCGUGCUUAACACAUGCAAGUCGAACGGAAAGGCCCUGCUUUUGUGGGGUGCUCGAGUGGCGAAAGGGUGAGUAACACGUGAGUAACCUGCCCUUGACUUUGGGAUAACUUCAGGAAACUGGGGCUAAUACCGGAUAGGAGCUCCUGCUGCAUGGUGGGGGUUGGAAAGUUUCGGCGGUUGGGGAUGGACUCGCGGCUUAUCAGCUUGUUGGUGGGGUAGUGGCUUACCAAGGCUUUGACGGGUAGCCGGCCUGAGAGGGUGACCGGCCACAUUGGGACUGAGAUACGGCCCAGACUCCUACGGGAAGCAGCAGUGGGGAAUAUUGCACACUGGGCGGAAGCCUGAUGCCGCAACGCCGCGUGAGGGAUGACGGCCUUCGGGUUGUAAACCGCUUUCGCCUGUGACGGAGCGUGAGUGACGGUAAUGGGUAAAGAAGCACCGGCUAACUACGUG